UUAGUAGCUGUUCUCGAUCAUAUGAUCACUAUCAUUUCAGUCCAUGUUGUGUACAAGCCAAUCAGUAACACAAACUGCAGCCUUUAAACAUUAGGUGUAUUAUAUUGUGUGCAUUUAUCCUUUUUUUUAUUCUUCAUGACAGGCUACAUUUUGUGGAAACAGCAUCUAUAUCCCAAAGUUUUCAUGGUUGACUCCAUAGCAAGUUUGAGGGGGGAGUAAUGUGCACCUCACUGCUAACAACACUGUGGGCUUCAGAGACCAGAUCAAUACGAAGAAAGCUACAAAUCCCUAGUGGAGUCCAUUGAUACCCAAUUAAAAGCAUGUCUGCAGCAGAACCUGAAGACCGAGCAAACAUUAGACGGCUCUUUCAUACUCUCCAAAAACGACACAUCGCAGUGUGUGUACCAGAUCCUGGGUACAUCUCCCGCUCAAGGAAUGAUCAUCUAAGGUACAGCGUCUCCAUGUCUAAUGUCUCCUCAUCAUUUCUUCCCUUCCUGUCCUGUCUUUUAUUAAGUUGUGAGAUAAAUCCUCCAGAGCGCCAACAGUCUGCCUCCCUGGCCUGAUGUAAUAUGUUGUGUAUGCAAAGGCCUUAAACACUAAAACGUAAAUAUAUAACCGUUUGAUGCUAAAAAAAAACAAUCGUACUUAGUUUUACUUUAAAGUCGCUGUUUUGCGUGAUACUCUCUUCAAAAAUGUCUUGUGCUGAGGUGGAGGUAACAACUGUUUGGGACACAGAUUGAUGACUAAGGACUGGUGCACUGACCAACUCUUGCCUCUUUCCCAUCUCCCAUGGUGUCAUCAUCUGGUUGUUUUGUGCCCAGGCCUGCUGCCACAGUGAGUGCGUGCCAGCUAGAGGAGCCUGUUAAAAAUGUAGUUUGUGCAGCAUGUAUUUUUUACUGGCAAGCGGAUAAGGACUGCACAGCCAA